rnacentral:rRNA from 1 species
AUUGAACGCUGGCGGCAGGCCUAACACAUGCAAGUCGAGCGGAAACGAGAAUAGCUUGCUAUUCGGCGUCGAGCGGCGGACGGGUGAGUAAUGCCUGGGAAAUUGCCCUGAUGUGGGGGAUAACCAUUGGAAACGAUGGCUAAUACCGCAUAAUAGCUUCGGCUUAAAGAGGGGGACCUUCGGGCCUCUCGCUCCAGGAUAUGCCCAGGUGGGAUUAGCUAGUUGGUGAGGUAAAGGCUCACCAAGGCGACGAUCCCUAGCUGGUCUGAGAGGAUGAUCAGCCACACUGGAACUGAGACACGGUCCAGACUCCUACGGGAGGCAGCAGUGGGGAAUAUUGCACAAUGGGCGCAAGCCUGAUGCAGCCAUGCCGCGUGUAUGAAGAAGGCCUUCGGGUUGUAAAGUACUUUCAGCAGUGAGGAAGGGUGUGUAGUUAAUAGCUGCAUACUUUGACGUUAGCUGCAGAAGAAGCACCGGCUAACUCCGUGCCAGCAGCCGCGGUAAUACGGAGGGUGCGAGCGUUAAUCGGAAUUGCUGGGCGUAAAGCGCAUGCAGGUGGUUUGUUAAGUCAGAUGUGAAAGCCCGGGGCUCAACCUCGGAACCGCAUUUGAAACUGGCAGGCUAGAGUACUGUAGAGGGGGGUAGAAUUUCA